AAAUGACAUCAUAACAGGAAACCAGAAUAAUCCAGGAGAUCAUUUCCAUGGAUGGAAAGAAUGAGAUCAAUAAGUUAUUGAUUUCCAGUAUUGAUCAAGAAGAAAGCUGAAAGAAACCAAAUGUGUUGAUCACUCAGAACAAAGAAAUGCAGCUUUAAUAGUUUGGAUCAAUGAAAGAUUGAUGCUCAGUUCUCUUCACAUCAUGUUGAAGCCGUUUGGAAAGAAAAGUGGGCUCAGAGUCGGCAGAAGAAAAGGCCAAAUAUUGAUGAAGCAGGAAGAGCAGUUUGGGAUCAGAUCCAGAUCAGAUGUUUGUGUGUCUCGGUGUUCUGGACUGAUGUUGAACAUGUGGAGCUGAGAUUCAUUUACAGAACAGAGAUGAAAACAUUUGAAAGCUUCUUCUCUUCAAAGUUCAGCUUUAGAUCCAGAAAUGUAAAAGUCCAGCAGCUCAACACUGACAGGAGACAUUACUGUGAAGCAGCACAUGGACAAAACAAUCCCAGCAGCAUCAAGACUCUGAUCAUCUCCAACAGCUUCCUGUGUUUCUGUCCCCUGUUAGCUGCUGCUCUCAUCUGCUUCUGUCAAUAAAGUUAUUCAAACUGCUGCUGCUGUCUGUGCAGCUCAUGUUCUGCUUUGUUGUCCUCUCAGUCUGUCAGGUGGAGGUGGAGGAGGGGGCGGAGUCUGUCCUGCUGCCCUUCAAGACCACAGACAACCUGCCUCAGGACGCUAAGUGAGUGGAACGCUAUGAUCCCUAUAAGAUGGUCCACAUGUAUCAAUAUGGCUCUGACCAGCCUGACCGACAGGACCAGGUUUACAGAGACCGAACAGAGAUGAAGGAAGACCUGCUGAGAACUGGAGACCUCAGUCUGACCCUGAAAUCCCCCACAGACAGAGACGGAGGACGAUACAGUUGCAUCGUCCCAGCAGAACAUCUAUAGAGUGAAAUCAGUUGUUCUCAGGGUCAAAGAGAGAAGCAGGAACAGAAGCAGCUCCGCUGAUCCAACUCCUCUGAUGCCGAUCAAUCUGUUUGAUCUUUGAUCAUUGAUCCGAUCUGACUCUGGAUCAGAGAGAAAAUGGAGGUGAAGCAGCUGAUGGAGGACGGAUGAAGACAGGAGGACGCUUUGUCAGCUUCUUCUUCACUCUGACUCCUCCUACUGACUCUCACACACAGUCUACACACUCACUAUUGAUUCCUGCUGAUCAGUGAUGUCAGAGUGAGGUCAGCGUGAUGUCACAUGGCUUGAACGGGCGUGUUUCCUGUGAACCUCCCAGCGGCUGGAUAACAGCUGCGGCUCUCUGGAUAUUUGUGGCUCGUUCUAAUGCGUGCAGUCAAACAAACUUUAUUUCUACAGACACAGAGAAGUCAGCAGCUGCAGGAAAUCAGAACCACUGACAGGAAGUUAAGAGUCAAGUUAAACCACAUGUCAGAACUUUCUACAGCAGCAGGAUUUAGAAGAUGCUGGAAGCUGCUGUCUUUAGAUUUUGGACCCGUCACAAUUUGUCACAUUUUCUGAAGCCACAACAAAUCUUGUUGAAAGGAAACAGUUGAUUGAAGGUCCAGUUUCAAACGAAGAGUCAAAGCUUCUCUUUGUGUCGACUCCUUUAAUGAGAACAUUGAAAAGGACUCGAGUCCAAGUCUCAAGUGUCCAGCUCAGAUUAUUCCAGCACCAACCCUGGCAGGAUGCAAGUUAAACAGAAAGCAACACAUUUAGUGACAGAACAGAAAGCAGCCAGCUGUUAAAAUGGACUCAGAGAAUGAAGACACAAUAAGAUUUGAUUCAGUCAGACUUUCACAAGAACAAAGGUUUGUUCAGCCUGAACACAAAUGUGGUCUGUAGUGUUUUUGUAGUCCCUG